UACGGCUCAGUAACACGUGGCUAACCUGCCCUUAGGACGAGGACACCCCCGGGAAACUGGGGCUAAUCCCCGAUAGGUGAAGAACUCUGGAAUGAGUCUUCGCCCAAAAGCCGUCGGAGCAUCUUUCUGGCGGUGCCUAAGGAUGGGGCCGCGACCGAUCAGGUUGUUGGUGAGGUAAUGGCCCACCAAGCCUUUGACCGGUGCGGGCCGUGGGAGCGGGAGCCCGGAGAUGGGCACUGAGACAAGGGCCCAGGCCCUACGGGGCGCAGCAGUCGCGCAAACUUUGCAAUACACGAAAGUGUGACAGGGCUAUCCCGAGUGCCGUCCGCUGAGGAUGGCUUUUAACCAGUCUAGAAAGCUGGUAGAAUAAGGAGAGGGCAAGUCUGGUGUCAGCCGCCGCGGUAAUACCAGCUCUCCGAGUGGUGUGGAUGUUUAUUGGGCCUAAAGCAUCCGUAGCUGGCCAAGUUAGUCCCUUGUUAAACCCAACGAAUUAAUCGUUGGAUUGCGGGGGAUACUGCUCGGCUAGGGGACGAGAGAGGCCGACGGUAUUCUCGGGGUAGGGGUGAAAUCCUAUAAUCCCGGGAAGACCACCAGUGGCGAAGGCUGUCGGCUAGAACGAGCCCGACGGUGAGGGAUGAAAGCUGGGGGAGCGAACCGGAUUAGAUACCCGGGUAGUCCCAGCUGUAAACGAUGCAGGCUAGGUGUUUGGACGGCCACGUGCCGUUCUAGUGCCGCAGGGAAGCUGUUAAGCCUGCCGCCUGGGGAGUACGAUCGCAAGAUUGAAACUUAAAGGAAUUGGCGGGGGAGCACA
rnacentral:rRNA from 1 species